rnacentral:rRNA from 1 species
UACGGAGGGGAGCUAGCGUUGUUCGGAAUUACUGGGCGUAAAGCGCACGUAGGCGGAUUUGUAAGUCAGGGGGUGAAAUCCCGGGGCUCAACCCCGGAACUGCCUUUGAUACUGCAAAUCUCGAGUCCGGGAGAGGUGAGUGGGAACUGCGAGUGUAGAGGUGAAAUUCGUAGAUAUCGCUUGGAACGCCAACGGUGAAAACAGGUUGCUGGGGUUGUGCCGACGCUGAGACACGAAAGCCAGGGGAGCAAACGGG